rnacentral:rRNA from 1 species
GAUGAACGCUGGCGGCGUGCCUAAUACAUGCAAGUCGAGCGCGACUGAUUACACCGUUCUUCGGAACACCGUAAUCAUCGAGCGGCGGACGGGUGAGUAACACGUGGGCAACCUACCCUUAAGACUGGGAUAACCGCGGGAAACCGUGGCUAAUACCGGAUAAUACUUUUAUACAACGGUAUAGAAGUUGAAAGGUGGAUUUCUAUCACUUAAGGAUGGGCCUGCGGCGCAUUAGCUGGUUGGUAAGGUAACGGCUUACCAAGGCGACGAUGCGUAGCCGACCUGAGAGGGUGAUCGGCCACACUGGAACUGAGACACGGUCCAGACUCCUACGGGAGGCAGCAGUAGGGAAUCUUCCGCAAAGGGCGAAAGCCUGACGGAGCAACGCCGCGUGUGCGAAGAAGGUCUUCGGAUCGUAAAGCACUGUUGUUAAGGAAGAACGACAGUAAGAGUAACUGUUUACUGUGUGACGGUACUUAACCAGAAAGCCACGGCUAACUACGUG